rnacentral:rRNA from 1 species
ACGGGUGCGUAACGCGUGGGAAUCUGCCCUUAGGUUCGGAAUAACAGCUGGAAACGGCUGCUAAUACCGGAUGAUGACGAAAGUCCAAAGAUUUAUUGCCUGAGGAUGAGCCCGCGUUGGAUUAGGUAGUUGGUGGGGUAAAGGCCUACCAAGCCGACGAUCCAUAGCUGGUCUGAGAGGAUGAUCAGCCACAUUGGGACUGAGACACGGCCCAGACUCCUACGGGAGGCAGCAGUGGGGAAUAUUGGGCAAUGGGCGAAAGCCUGAUCCAGCAAUGCCGCGUGAGUGAUGAAGGCCCUAGGGUUGUAAAGCUCUUUUACCCGGGAAGAUAAUGACUGUACCGGGAGAAUAAGCCCCGGCUAACUCCGUGCCAGCAGCCGCGGUAAUACGGAGGGGGCUAGCGUUGUUCGGAAUUACUGGGCGUAAAGCGCACGUAGGCGGCUUUGUAAGUCAGAGGUGAAAGCCUGGAGCUCAACUCCAGAACUGCCUUUGAGACUGCAUCGCUUGAAUCCAGGAGAGGUCAGUGGAAUUCCGAGUGUAGAGGUGAAAUUCGUAGA